UGGGAUAUGGAGGUGAACCCCUC
rnacentral:piRNA from 1 species